CCUACGGGAGUCAGCAGUGGGGAAUAUUGGACAAUGGGGGAAACCCUGAUCCAGCGACGCCGCGUGAGUGAAGAAGUAUUUCGGUACGUAAAGCUCUAUCAUCAGGAAAGAAAAUGACGGUACCUUACUAAGAAGCCCCGGCUAACUACGUGCCAGCAGACGCGGUAAUACGUAGGGGGCAAGCGUUAUCCGGAUUUACUUGGUGUAAAGAGAGCGUAGACGGCAGCGCAAGUCUGGAGUGAAAUGCCGGGGCCCAACCCCGGAACUGCUCUGGAUACUGUGAAGCUGGAGUGAAGGAGAGGUAAGCGGAAUUCCUGGGGUAGCGGUGAAAGGCGUAGAUAUCAGGAGGAACACCGGCGGCGAAGGCGGCUUACUGGACUGUAACUGACGUUGAGGCUCGAAGGCGUGGGGAGCAAACAGGAUUAGAUACCCCUGUAGUC
rnacentral:rRNA from 1 species